rfam:Thielavia terrestris NRRL 8126 chromosome 2, complete sequence.
AAUUAGGUGGCCAAGUGGUUAUAGUAGAGGAUUUAAGUAUUUUCUAAAUCUCCUCUUCUCGAAAGAGAGCGUGGGUUCGAACCCCACCCUCGUUA